CUCAGUUGUUGCAGCUGGAAUACAAAACAACUGCAUCAAACCCCUCUGAAAGCCAGGGUUUUUCUGGACACUGUGCCCACGCUACACAAUCAGAUUGAUUACUGAGAAGGAAAUAAGUGACUCUGCGAUGCUGCUCCCGAGGUUUCUGUGAUUUUCCCAGUAUUUCCCAGGUCAGCCUGGGUGCUCUGGCACACAUGGAAAUCCAGAUGCUCCCUGGAGACCCCCGGGUGUUGGCAUCAGGAGCUGGCCUGGACUGUCCCAAGUGUGCUUUAGCUUCCAUCCCACAGAAUGAAAGGGACCAGGAUGGGGAUUCCAAGUCAAGGGCCAUGGCUCCUCUGACCAGACCAGUGGAAUUGUUCUGCAGAGAAGCAGUGAAUUGAGACCAAAAUCUGCUGGAAAAUGGAAGCAGUUUUCAUUGACUUUAACAGGCUGUAAACUCACUGAUGUUUAGUGAACCUGUUGGAGAGAAAAAAAAAAAAAAACCAACAAAAAAACCCAAAACCAAAAAAACUGAGAAAGGCCACAACUCUGAUUUCGUUUCUCUCGGAUUGAUACGGUUU
rnacentral:lncRNA from 1 species